rnacentral:lncRNA from 1 species
AGUCACGUGUUUUGCUCUUCGGAAACAUCAGCUCUGCCUUCAUGAAACAACCCAGAUGCCUGAGACUGUGGCAGCAGAACUGCUGCUGCAACUUGAAGCUGGGCAGGAGCAGUUCUGAAAGAGAAGGUAAGAUGCUGGGGAGGUCCCUUAGUCCCUUGGAAGCAGGGCUGAGACACAUCUUAGAACUAGUUACCCUGUCCAGGUGUGUUCAGGUUUUUCUAGGACAGGCUCUGAUUUCCUUUAGUUUUUCCUGAGCUUCCCAAAUGGCACUCAGGAAUCUGCUGUGUCCUUCAUAUUUUCUUCUUGAGGUUGCCUGGGUUUUUUUUUUUUUCUCCAGUGAGCCUCAUUCCCUUUAUGAGUUUCUUUGGUUAAUUUGGCUCCCAGUUCCUUGGAAACCUCCUCUGGAGACAAUGCUGAAGGUUUCUACACAUAUGCUCCAAUUUGUAGGCUCCAUAGCCCUCAGCACUGGAAUUGGGGAUGCAGAAGCACCCCAGUGUUUAGAAGCUAUCAGCAGGACUGGAUUAUAUUAUGCAUUGAAGCAGCAACAAGGGCUAUCAGUGUAUUCGUUGUCAUUUGUCUCCUGGUGCCAGUGGUUGAGUAAGAGGAGCAGGACGCCAGCUGCCUGCAUCUGUAUUCAUGCCAUCUGA